rnacentral:lncRNA from 1 species
AUCUUCUAUAUUCUUUAAUGAAAAUACAGGGGCUCAAACUUGAACAAAUUGGUUUUGUCUUUAGAUAAAAGGCAUCCAUCACAGGAUCAGAUCAACAAUACAAUGAAGGAAGCCGUUCUGUCACAUUAUGAGUUGAAAAAAGAUAUGGUAAACAUUUAAUGAAACUGGGAAACUUUUAACAAGUGUGAUUCAGAUAUAAUUCUCUUUUUAAAAGAAAGCAUAUAAUUCUCUCUUUAAGGGCCAGUGAUGCCUGAAAAGCCAUGUUACUCUUCAGGAACACAUGUAUAUGCUGUUAUAUAGGAUUAUCAACUGCUAAGCUUUUUCCCCCUUUCACCUCCAACAUACCUGAGUGUAUAUUUGAUGUAACUGCUUUGGGAUG